GUGAAUCAUCGAGUCUUUGAACGCACAUUGCGCUCUCUGGUAUUCCGGAGAGCAUGCUUGUUUGAGUAUCAGUAAAAACACCCUCAGUCCUUUUGUUCGCAAAGGACUGGACUUGAGCGAUCCCAACGGCUGUUACACAGCUGGCGGGUCUCUUGAAAUGCAGGUGCGGCUGGACACUUUUUCUGAGCUAUAAGCAUUACUUAUUUAGUCCCGUCAAACGGAUUAUUUCUACUGCUGCAGCUAACAUAAAGGUUGAUUGUCCUGUGCCCGCUGAUGCAGAAAUAACUUGGAGCAAUCCUUGUUCACUCGAUCUCAAAUCAAGUAAGACUACCCGCUGAACUUAAGCAUAUCAAUAAGGCGAGG
rnacentral:rRNA from 1 species